rnacentral:rRNA from 1 species
UACGUAGGGUGCAAGCGUUGUCCGGAAUUAUUGGGCGUAAAGAGCUCGUAGGCGGUCUGUCACGUCGGCUGUGAAAUCCCGAGGCUCAACCUCGGGUCUGCAGUCGAUACGGGCAAACUAGAGUAUUGCAGGGGAGACUGGAAUUCCUGGUGUAGCGGUGGAAUGCGUAGAGAUCCGGAAGAACACCGGUGGCGAAGGCGGUCUGCUGGGCCAAGACUGACGCUGAGGCGCGAAAGCUAGGGUAGCAAACAG